AAUCCAGGAAGCCUGUUCAUGGGUCUUCUUGCAGCGUCUUACCGCGAGCAUUCUGAGACUUUCACCACCAGAUGGCAGCAUCGGCCCACGGAUGCUACAACCGGCCACGGCGGGACAAACAGGUUGAGGAUAAGAGGCUGAUUCCAAGAGCAUCUCCCGAUGAGCGCCAGCCCUUUGCACCCUCCAGAAGUACACACGCUUCUCCCUUCAUCACUGAGAGGCCCUGUUACCUAUAUAUAGGAUCCAGUCUAAUGAAAGAAGCUUGUCAAGUGCUGUGUAGAAAAUUUCCCACAAAAGACAAGCCCUGGUUAAAC
rnacentral:lncRNA from 1 species